rnacentral:tRNA from 1 species
ACUAAUUUGGCAGAAAAGUGCUUUAAAUUUAGAAUUUAAUAAUGUAUUAUUUACAGUUAGUA